CCGUGCUAGAUGGGGAGGUAGCGGUGCCUUGUACCCGCAAUCCGCUAUAGCGGGGUCGAAUUCCCGCCCAAGGUGCCCUCUUGUGGGGUCCGGCCUGGGUAAGUGGCGAGGAGGAUUGGGUCUUGCGCAACAGGGCUUUGUGAACCCCGUCAGGUCCGGAAGGAAGCAGCGGUAAGCAAAUCACCCUGUGUGCCGCGAGGUUGCCUGAUCGGAGUUAACUGCCCGGGUAACGCCCGGAAGAGGUUAUCGACGGUGGGUGCACGG
rnacentral:SRP_RNA from 1 species